UUAAAGACCCGAAUGAUCACCGCACUCCACCAAAAUGGAGCGCGGAGGAAAGUCCGAACUGCCAAUCCAAGGGAAGUCGAUAACGUCGACCGUGCGCAAGCAUAGGGAAAGUACCACAGAGACAAUACUCGUCAUCGCUCGGAGACGGGGAUCCGGUUACCGACGGUGGCAAAAGGUGAAAAGCGAUGAGGUGUAUGCGUUCGCGCAUGCUACUCAUCUGUCCAUAUGGCGACAUAUGCGACUGGUAAACCCUUCCCGGCAGUAAGGUGGGAUUGGACUCGCGCAUACGCGUGAGGCCCGCCGCUUGAGCCGUGUAGCAAUAUACGGCCCAGAGAGAUGAUCAUACUUCGAGAAAUCGAAGCACAAAAUUCNNNNNNNAUACUUCGAGAAAUCGAAGCACAAAAUUCGGCUUAUGACGGUCUUUGAGAGG
rnacentral:RNase_P_RNA from 2 species